CAGUCCGUGAAUGCGCCGCUUUAAGAGCUCCGACGAAGUCUCUAGUGGGAGCUGCAUUCUCGAUAAACUUCUUCAAUGAUGCCAGAGGUUUCUUCUCUUUCAUCUGCCAAACCCCGGAAUCAUUAGCAACCUUCGACCCACAAAACAAGAAAAAGCGCAAAAAGCGAAUAAAUGAAAUUAUAAUAAAGUUUGUAAAAUUACUUGGGAAACUUCCACGUCUUUGUGCCAAAUGAUUUCUUCGAGAAUAUUGCGAGGAGUGUUACCCUCGUUUUGCAAACGGAACUCGAAGGGGCCCACGUAAUGCAUCGGCGGACCCGAAGGUGGUCUUCGCCGUAUUCUUAUACCUUGACUCGCAGCGACUUCGUUUUGGAACAUUCCAACUUCCCAUUCCUUCACUUUCAACGCAUCUUCCUCCUCUCCCCUUUUCGGGGAUAUGGCCUCCGACUACAUAAAAACCAAAUAGAAAAGAUAAACUAAAAUACAAAAUAUAAUGGCCAUAUUUAGAUUUUUACUACUACUACUAUUAUGAACCAACCUGUUGGGCUCGAAUGCCCGGAAAAUUGGAGCGGUGGAUGAUGAGAUUAGGACGGUGAUUGAAGGAAGGAACUGAUUGAAAGGGAAUUCUAGAAGUCGCUUUCAGGAAAACCAAUCCCUCCAUUUUUGCAAUUGAAAAGCCACAAGGGGGAUUCCGCAAUUGAUUGGGUUUGGCUGUGUAUCAUGACCUCAGAAGCGGACUGCUGGGAAGUGGAGAUGAUACAGUGGUCUUUAAAGUGGAUUUUCAUCUCUACUCUUUUUAGAAAAAUUUUUUUUCUCUUUUUAAAAAUUUGGAAAUGGCACGUGAAGAUAUUUGUUAGUCGUGACUAAUUGGUAAGACGAUAAUGAUGAUUUCUCCAAGAUUUAUUUUCUUUUUUUUUUGGUAAAAUUUUAUUUAUUUCUUCUUUUGAUUUAUUAGUUUCAUUCUAUACUUUGUACGAUUUUGUAAAAUUUUUGUUUCCUAUUUUGGUGUAUUAUAAAUAUUGUUAACUUUUUUUUUAUUAAAAAAGCAGAUUUGAAACUUAAUUUUUUUAGAUAAGAAUCAUGUUCUAAUUAACGUGUCAAAUAUCCGAAUACAUAUUACGUGUAAACUUGUUUUAAUUUGUUCUUAAUAAUGAUCUCAAGCUAUACAAUGAGAGAUAAUUUUUUUCUUGGUUCCUAAAUUUCAAUCAUUUGUCCACACAUUUCCAACAUUACCACUCCUAUGAUAUAAUACAAGUCAAAAACAAAGGUGAUCAAACCUGUUUGGUUGAGGACCAAGCUUUAAUGCACCAUUGGGCAGGCAUGGUGGAGUUCAUAAAUCAUACAUUUUGAUCAAUCAAUGCCUGUAUACGCAAGCAACAUUACAAGCAAUGUUUGCAGAUAAUGUAAGUAACUUAAAAAACAGUUGCUUCUUUAUAGGGAUUCAUGUCAGAACAUUACAUUGUUACAUUGAACGGGGCAGAAUUUCUGUAAGUUGCCUUGCCUCACUUUAACUCCCUAGGUUUGAGUUUACAGCAGAACUCCACCAGACAUAAACUAACUCUGUUCAUCCCCAAAACCAAGAACAGGCCGCAUGAAGGAAACCUUUAUUUAAAAAUGUUUUGCAAUCCAUCGAAGAUCCUUAAAGCUCUCAGUUCACCACUCCUCAUAUCCCUCAAUCUCCUCCUCAGUAUCUGGAACCGUUCACAUAAGCAGAAUGAAGCAGAUGCAUCAGGUCAGGAAGCAAGAUAUAAAUUAUUUAGCAGCAGUAAAUGCUCCUAACUUCAUGGUAUAAAUUCCUUAUUUUCAUGAAACAAUAUGCCCAGUACCUAGAACAUGCAACAUCUAACAUUUUGCACUGAUGAAUCCUUGGCAUACUCAAGACCUUAAUUCAGUGAACAUAAGUGGUGGGAUUUGAUAGACAGAAUAUGAAGUACUUCAAUUCUAAAGCAACCAAAAAAUGAGUACUUCACUCAAUAACAAUGGAAAAACACUGUGCCUAAGCAGAUUACUAACUCAAAACUCAGCAUCCAAUCGAGGGAGCUCAAACAACAGAUUGUAAGUGAUAUGUUAUGAAACAAGUAUCAACAGAGAUGUGCUAAAUAACUUAAAAAGAAAUUUGAAAAAUCAAAGGAGGUUUAGUCUUACAUGUUGAGCACGAAAUAGUAUUCUCUGCUCACUUGUACAUAAAUCUACUGCUAGCUGUUUCAGAAACACUCCUCGGUUUAGUUGCUUUGGAGAUGUCACAUCCAAAUCCAUGGAGCCACUUGCCUAUAAAAGAAAUUACCAAGAAUUGCACACUGAAUAUGAGGUAUUUAAGACGAGCCCUAUCUAUAUCAAAUAACCCUUUUUCAUUUUUAUGGUAAUUUCAAUCUAAGUAAAGUUUUCCAAGUUCUGAAAAAAUGAUAUUUCUCUCACCUGCAAGAAUUUGGAGUAUUUUGAUAUGCUUGACUCGCAACUGUCAAGAAUAAAUUGCAGUGCUUUUUCUUCAAUUUCAAGGUAUCUUAAGUCCUUCUUGGUUGUAGAUUUAUUUGAUGCUGCAGCAGCCAUCUGGAGAAACAACCAUUAGGAGUUCAAUAAUCAAAAUUUAUUCCAUGAUUUAGAGGAUAGAGUUCUCAAACCUCUUCAAACUGCGGGCUCAUGCUUGGAGGGCUGACUGCCAGGUAAGCAUAUGCCAUUAACUCCAGUGGCCAACCAGUGAUUUGUAUAGGAUAACACUGAGAACUGCCAGAAAGGUUCACAGAUUUGAAAUAAGAAAUUAAAAUGUGAAAAAAACUAAAUAUAGAUAACAGAGGAAGCACAAAUCAUAAAUAAUGUCCAAGAACUAAGCUUCUUCAGAAGACAAAAAGAUACAAUCAUUACCACAGAUAUUUAACCAUUCAGAUAAGAAACAGAAUAAAUUUAACUCCCUAAUGAAUCAACCCCAAAAAUCUAGGACUACUAAAACAAGAUUAAAUUAAAAAAUCAGUAAAAAAACAUUUAUCCAGCUUAUGCAGACAAUCCAUGCUUCCUUAAAGCUUCCAACUUCUCCUUAUAACAUUUGUCAGAUUUUUUAAGCGAUAGAGAUAGCUCUACUGAAUCACUAGGAUUUGUGCCCUCUUUUGGAACAAAUCCAUAAGAUAACAACAGCUCUCCAUUAGAUUUUUUGCCAUAUGAUAUGAAAACCUGCAUAAAAUGAUGGAAGCCAUCUAUAAGACAUUUCAAACUUUGCCAACUAACAUGAUAUUAGUGGUCCAAACUCUAAACUUUGAGGUUGUUCAUGCUUACAACAGAUUAGCACGUCUAUGAUCAUUAAGAAACUGAUUGAUAAUAUGUUACUUUAAAGGGUCAAUCCUAGCUUCAAAAUGUAUCAAGCAAAUAUGGUGUUCAACUGUGAGAACAAAAUUUAUAAGUAUCUUAAUAUACAGGAAUGUAGGUAAGGAUACAUAUAUAGUGUGUGUGUGUGUCCAGGCACGCAUGCACGUGUGCAAAGAAGUGGCUGCACGCUCUCAUGCAUAUAUGUAGUAAGAAAAACAACACAAUGUUUCCACCCCCUGUUAAAAAAAUUAAUUGCAAAUUCCCUUGAGUAGAUCUCAUGAAGCUUCCAAAUCUGAAAUACUUUAACAACCGGUUUUUUUGGAAGAAGUAGUAAUCUUUGAAACAAAAUCAUUAAUGACAACCAAAUAAUAACAUAAGUUAUAUAUAUGAUGUACAUUUCUUGGAAGAAGUAGUAAUCGUUUAAAGAAAAUCAUUAAUGACAACCAAAUAAAUCUGAAAUAUUUUAGCAACCGGCUUUUUUGGAAGAAGUAGUCAUCUUUUAAACAACAACAUUAAUGACAACAAAGAAUGAUAUAAGUUAUAUGUAUGAUGUACAUUUCUUGGAAGAAGUAGUAAUCUUUUAAAAAAAAUCAUCAAUGACGACCAAAUAAUAAUUUAAGUUCUUUGUAUGAUGUACAUUGCUCUCCCUUCGCAUACACAGUCAUGUAAGAAAAGUAAACAAAAAAUCUUUCAGCAACAACUUUAUUAUUGCUCUAAUCUUCUAUGAUCCCUAUGAUCAAAUAAUAUAUAUGUCAAAAUCUCAUUUACCUGCUCACCUGGCUGAUAAGCCCGAUCUGUUGUAAAGACAACCCCAUGUGAUGAUCUGUCAUAAUCCAAAAAUGUUUCCACCUUAACCAGAAAAAGUCAAGCGAAGGUACUAAUUUGAUUAAUUAUAUAUCUUGUAUGCAUCCUUUAUAAAGAAAGACUUCUCUGUACCUCACAGCUAUGGUUGAGCAUAUCUGCCCAAGGAACCAAGGCAACCUUUUCAUCCAUUGAAGGUAGCCUCACCUGGUUUUAACAGCAAAAUGAAAGUUUUAACUUUUCCAUUCUUAUAAAUCAACUAUCCUCUCCUGCACUUUGCGUUAAACCUCUAAAUUAAGCCCCAAUUACAGAACAUUUACAAUGCAAAAUUGUAUGUAAUAAAGUCACAAAGUUAGUGGUAUCAAAGGAGACUUGAGAAGUACAGCAUCAUUUACCUCUUUAGUUAAAUUUUAAGGCAGAGAUAUAUAAUUUCAAAUAAUUUAUUCUACAAAAAAAUUCGAAGCCGUUUAGCAUUGCUACUGGCAUCCGUAAACAUUUUCCAGGUGAGCUGGUCAAGGAUUUAAACGUUGAGAAUUUUAAGAAAAACACAAAAACAUAAAAUUAAAAACUUACUCACUUUGAUAACUGACUUAAUUUCUAGACAGAAUUGUUGGAUCAAUUUGUACUGCCAAAUGAUUUCUUCGAGAAUAUUGCGAGGAGUGUUACCCUCGUUUUGCAAACGGAAUAAUGCAACGGCGGACCCGUAGGCGGUCUUCGCCUUGUUCUUAUGCCUGGACUCGCAGCGACUUCGUUUGGGAACUUUCCAACUUCCCAUUCCUUCACUUUCAACGCAUCUUCCUCCUCUCCCCUUUUCGGGGAUUUGGUCUCCGACUACAUAAAAACCAAAUAAAAAAUCAACUAAAAUACAAAAUAUAAUGGCCAUAUUUAGAUUCUUACUACUACUACUACUAUUAUGAACCAACCUGUUGGGCUCGAAUGCCCGGAAAAUUGGAGCGGCGGAUGAAGAAAUUAGGACGGUGAUUGAAGGAAGGAACUGAUUGAAAGGAAAUUCUAUGAGAAGAGAAAGUGACGCUGGUGGCAGAGGAGAAAAGAAAGAAGGAAGAAAAAGGGAAGGAGAGAAAGAAAAAAAAAGAGAAGAAGAAACUGACCGGCGAAAGAAAGAAAGAGAGAAGAAGCCGGCGGCCAAGAGAGAGAAGAGGCUGGCGGCAAAGGAUAAAGGAGAGGAAGAAGAAAGAGAAGGAAAAAAAGAAAAAGAAAGGGAGAAAGAAAGGAAAGAAAGAGCAGGAAGGAAAGAAAAAAAGAGAAAAAGAGAGAGAGAGAGAGAGAGAAGAGCAAAAGAGCAGCCAGCCAUUCAAGCACCAAACGGCACGUUUGGACUGCAACGUAGAGAUUAGAGACCAGCAGAGCGGGUUUAGUUGCCUUGGCCGAUUCUAGCCUAAGAAAGUUGUAACUCUUUUUUAUCUAUUUGCGAAUCGGUUGUUUUAUUUUGAAAUAUGUGUUUUAAAUACAUGAUUAAUCUAAAUAAGAUGAAAUAAAAUAUUUAGAAAAAUUAUUUCAUGUUAGGGUAGGAAUAUUAAAAAAAAAGAUAAACGUUUGAAUUCAAAAAAAUAAAAAGAAAUGGUAAUAGUUAUAAUAGUCAGAUAAAUACAUAUAUGUUUAUUUGAGUGUUAGGAAAUUAAAAUAAAUAAAUAAUAUAAAUAAAAAAAUAUAGUAGUGAAAGUAAAAAUGAAAAUAAAAAAAUAGUUUCAAACAUGUUAGGUGAACUAAAACUUAAAUAAAUAUUUAUUUACAAAAAAGGGAUUUAAAUAAGUGAGGUUUAUAUAAAUAGGAAAUAAGUGGAUUUAACUAAGGCUAAACAUAUAUAUAUAUAUAUAAGAAUGGUAAAAUAAUAAAGCAAAAGUGAUUAGUCAAUAUUAGUAAAAAAUAUAAUAACACAUAUGCGUAUAACAAAGCAAACAAGAAAAAAGAAAUAAAAAUAAUGAACAAAAAUAAUAAUAAUGAUAAUUAAGAAAAUAAUAAUAAAUAAUAAUAACAAUAAAAAUGAUAUAGAAAAAUGUAAUAAUCGUUUUAGGAUCGAGACCGAUGAUGGGAUAUCCAUUCGAAAUGCGAGAAGUAGCAAUUCUGAGUGAAUUUCCUUAGAUUAAAGAUUUCGAUUAAGAGUCCACCACUACGAUGGGAGGAACGUACUUCAAAAUUUCAAUGUUCCUAAUUUUAAAUAAAUAAAAAAUCAUACAUACUUAAUCACCAAUUAAUCAAAAUCUACAAAUAAAAUAAAUAAGAAAUUAAUGAUAACAAUAAAUUUGUUAAUCAUAAUAAUACAAAAAUAGAUAAAAUACAUAUGCAUAAUUAAUAAUCAUUGCGGAUAAUAAAAAAAUACUUGAUCUAAAAUUAUGAUUUUAAGGAAGUUUCAUAUAGUAAAAUAAAUAAGUACCUACAUAGUAAAAUAUAUGAAGAAAUAGAAAUGAUUAUAAAAACAAUAAAUAAAUAUAAAAUAUUUGUUCAUGAUAAGUAAGCACCAAGAAAAUAGUAAAAAAGAAACAAACAUUGAAUUUAUACGUGCAUCACGUACCAUUAUUGCAUUGUUAAAUGUCAUGACAUAUAGAUAUAUUCUAUAUACGAGUAUAAGCCCUGAUUAUGGGACUUUUCGAAAGAGCUUGCAAAAACGAGUUUUUUCGAAAAAAAUUUUAAGUGAAAAGAUACAUCCGAAUCUCACCAGUAUGAUGAGAGGACUCGGAUAAUAUCUUUAAUAAAAAGCUUUUGCUCGUAUUAGGAUUUACAUUCAUGAAAAUACUGCUUUUACUCACAAACGACUAUCCCGAUGAUAAGAUCUACAUAGUAAAUUUACGAAAGUGAGUUUUUCGAGUAUUUCCUUAAGUGAGAGAAUACUCUUGGAUCCCACCAGUAUGAUGGGAGGAUCCGAAAAGUACGCUCAAUAAAAGAUUUUUGUUUGAAAUUAUUUAGAUUUUUUGCUAUACGUUUCAUAAUUACAUUCCGUGUACAUCAAACACAAAAAACCAAACAAAAUAUUUUGUUAAUAGAAUAAAAGAUAAAAUAAAUAAAUAGCAAUUAAGGAACACAUGAGAAUAAAAUUAAUGAAUUAGGAUAACACAUGACUAAAUGUUACUGUUUGUAGAACGGGCGUCACAGCGGUGUUAAUCAUUUCUUACGUGUAACCGUACUUUCGAACUCAACUCUAAAUAAGAUAUGUAGACCAGUUUACCGUUAUUUCGACGGAUCUAAAGUCAAUUUAAGAUUUCGUCGAAUAAAAUCAAUUUAAUAGGUAACCAAUCAUACCUAGGUAAAAAAAAAUUGAUGACGACUUCCUAAAUUACUUCACGUCUAACGAUCGGAUUCCUGGACUUACCACGUUAUGACAACAACAUCAAAGAAACAAAUUUAAACUAAGAGGAUCGAAUAGUUCAUGAGGCAACUCAAUGAGCAACUGCUAAAACUUUAAAAACCUUACCAAGGUUACGAUUAUUGAUACCAAUAAGUUCAAUUCCUUCGAUACCAAGAACGCGAUCCAUUUCCCUCUCAUCGUGCACCUAAAAGAAACCAAUGGAAGCAACAAUAAAGUAUAUGAAUAUUGGAAAGAAAUACACAUGAAAAUUUUAAUAAUUCUGAAUGUUAGAAGCUUUUUAUUAAAACAAGGAUUUGAUGAUAUAACUUUUAAAAGUCUCAAAUGUGCUUUGCCAAUUGAUCAAAAAAAAAAAAAAAAACUGCCUCAAUAAUCAUGGAAGUAAAAUAAGUUUCAUAAAUCCAAAAAGCACCUCAACUAAUUAAAAAGUACGAGAUCAAUAAUAAUAACAAUGAAAGCUCCUGGUCUAACCUCUACAAGCGCUGCCGAACCAAGCAUCUUGCAGAUUUUAACCAUGUAUCUGAUGUCAAGAUCAGGCAAAACAGCAGCAAUUAAACGUAUUCCAUCUGCUCCCUUAAUUCGAGCAUAAUAUAUCUGCCAUGCAUCAAUCACAAAUUCUUUGCAAAGUAGAGGGCACUGUGUUCAUUAUGAGAGCAAAAUUAAUCCGUAUAGGAGAAUAAAACAAGACAAGAUUAGAGAUUAACAAACAACUAGUAAAACAGACCUUUACUCCGGCACUCCUUAUUGCCUCCAAAUUUUCAAAGCUUCCCUAAAUUGAAGAGGAGGGGAAAAAAAAAAGCAAGUCAGAGGAAUAAUAUACCAAUUAAGCGAUUAAACACAAAAUCUUCAAAAGCAAAAAUGAAAAAAUUACUGUGUUUACCUUAAAAUACUUUUCAUCAGUCAAAACACUAAGGCAUGCGGCUCCACCCUUCUGAUAUGCCCUAGCAAUCUCAACCUAUCAUGGAAAGCAUCUCUAUGUGUUACAAGUCACACAACAAUAAAAGAAUAUAAUGAUAAAUAAAUAUGAUACGGAACUAAGUUCACUCUUUCUUAAAGGUUUUACCCAAAUAGAAGUUUAAGAAUAGAAUAAAUCAUCAUUUUUUUAGAGUAUCUACACUCUUUCACAUUCAAGACUGAAAUGUAAAAUGCAAAAUCAUAUUUAGUUGAAAAUUAAGCAAAUAACUAAAAUGAAACGUAGGCAUUUUGUUAUUCAAAAAAGAGUAUUUUCAAUUUUUCAUUCUUCAAAAAUAUAAGCCGCUUUGGUAUCAAAAUACACUUUUUACUUGCUCCUUGCAGAGCAAAAGAGCAGACAAUUAAUAAAAGAAAUAACCCAAAUGAAGCUAACUUUUUAAAGCUUAUACUAGGAUAAUUUCCUUUUUAUCAUUAGUACAAAAUAAUUGCUCCCUCCAUCCAAUAAACACCGUCUUGCAUACCUUUAGUUCCCAAACUUAAUCUCUCAUUUAAAAAUCAUAAAAAAAAAAUCAUUAUUGCUUUUCUUUAUUACCCUGAACUACUUAACUUAAAAUUUGUUAAACUUUGAACAUGUUUGGUCUAACUUUUUUUAACUUAAAAACUAUUUUAAAGUUUUUAUGAAAAAUAAUAGCUUUUAAAAUUAAGUUAAAGUUAUUUGAUAAAUUUACUUUUUAUAAGUUUUUUUAAUAGAUAAGUUGUUUGGCAAAACAGCUUAUAUAAACUUUAAUUUUAGUUAAAAUUACCAUAAAAGGGUAUUUAAUAAAUAACUUUUUAUUAAUCACAAAUUUUUUUAUUCAAAAUAAAAAAAUUAAUUUACAUAUUAUAGAACCAAAUAAUCAAGUAAGAAAAUAUUUAUAUAUAUUUUUUAACACUAUAAAUCUUUUACACUUAAAUAUUUAGUUUAUUAAUAAAUAUAUCAAUAAUCUACUUAAAGACUUAUAUUUUUUAAUUUUUUAAUUAAUCCAUCGAUAUUUUAAUUUUGUUCAAUCUAAUCCCUAUAUUAUAUAUUUUUAUUCAAUUUAAACCUUAUGACAUGGUAAAAUUUUUUAUUUAAAAAUUUUUUUUGAUCUAUCAUGUGACACUGUCACGUUAGUAUUAUCAUGUCAUUAUAUUAAUGUCACGUGGUAUUAUCAUGUCAUCAUGUCGGUACCACGUGAAAUGUCAUGUUAUCAUCUCAACGUCACCUCAUCAAAAUGUGCCAUAUUAGCUUUGACGUCAUCGCAGAUGUCAUCUCUUUUAAUGACAAAAUUGAGUGCAAUUAGAGAAAAAGAUUAAAUUGAAGAAAUUCUCAAAAUCAUGAGAUUAAAUUGUUUUGAUUUUAAGUACAAAGGUAAAUUGAAUAAAAUUAAAUAGUGUAAAAACUGAAUAAGUGUUUUGAACAAUAAAUAUUCAUUCCGUGGAGAGUUUUAUUACAUGAAGAAUNNNNNNNNNNNNNNNNNNNNNNNNNNNNNNNNNNNNNNNNNNNNNNNNNNNNNNNNNNNNNNNNNNNNNNNNNNNNNNNNNNNNNNNNNNNNNNNNNNNNNNNNNNNNNNNNNNNNNNNNNNNNNNNNNAAAAAAAAAAAAAAAACGAUAGAAAAUAAGUGCUUAUUUGGCUUGAUUUUUUUUUCAACUUAUCUAUUUUUUAAAAGUAAAAACCAAACCAAAUAUAAAUUUUGAAAAGCUUUUUAAAAAAAUAGCUUUUUUUGAAAGAAUAAAAUUUUGAAAAAAAAAGGUUCAGGAAAAGCUCCUAUGAAGAAUUUUUUUUCUCUUUUUUUAAAAAUAUAAGAGAAUUUUUAUUUUUAUUUCAAAAAUAUCUUCAUCUGUUAAAAAUAAUUACAAUACUACCUUAUAAAAAAAUCCUUUAUGAUAAUUUUAAUCAAAAUUAUAACUUAUAAAAAAUAACUUAUAAAAAGAAAUUUAUCAAAUAAUUUUACUUUAAUUUUUAAAACUAUUAUUUUUCAUAAGAACUUUAUAAUAGUUUAUAAGUUAAAAAAAAACAGGUCAAACAGACUCUAAAAUAAAAAACAAAAUAGAAAAAAAAUAUCUUAACGAAAUUUUAAAUUUUUUUUUUAAAUUUUUAUAAAAAUAAAAAAAAUUUAUAGAAUGAUGAUUUACAGAAAGAGAAAGAGGAGAGGACGAUCGAUAGAGAGAAAGGGAGGGAGUAUUUUUUGAGUGGGAAGAUUUUUUUGAAAAAAAAAAAAUAACUCUUUUAAUAAAUUGAUAUAUUUUUUUUGAAAAAAAUAACUUUUAAUAGGAGUUUUUUUAAUUUUACUUUUUUAAAAAAUUAUUUUUUAAGAGUUUUUCAUAAAAUUUUAUCUUAUCCAAUUUUUACUUUUAAUUAAUAAAUAAAUUAAAAAUAAAUCAAAUCAAACGACCAUUUUGUCCCAAGUCAUAAUCAGACACAAUAUUAUAGGGUAGAGGGAGUAAAAAGGAAACACAAUUAAGCUUAAAAAACAAGCAUCCCUUACCGGAUCAAAAUCCUCUCUGAGAAUUCCUCUGGUAGGCGAAGCCUUCUUAACUUCAGCAAUCAAACCAAGGCAACCCAGUCCGUGAAUGCGCCACCUUAAAAGCUCCGACGAAGUCUCUAGUGGGAGCUGCAUUCUCGAUAAACUUGUUCAAUGAAGCCAGAGGCUUCUUCUCUUUCAUCUGCCAAACCCCAGAAUCACUAGCAACUUUCGACCCACAACACAAGAAAAAGCGCAAAAGCGAAUAAAUGAAAUUAUAAUAAAGUUUGUAAAAUUACUUGGGAAACU
rnacentral:lncRNA from 1 species